rnacentral:misc_RNA from 1 species
GAAGUAAAAGUCGUAACAAGGUCUCCGUUGGUGAACCAGCGGAGGGAUCAUUGCUGGAACGCGCCCCAGGCGCACCCAGAAACCCUUUGUGAACUUAUACCUUACUGUUGCCUCGGCGCUGGCCGGUCCUUCGGGGCCCCUCACCCUCGGGUGUUGAGACAGCCCGCCGGCGGCCAACCUAACUCUUGUUUUUACACUGAAACUCUGAGAAUAAAACAUAAAUGAAUCAAAACUUUCAACAACGGAUCUCUUGGUUCUGGCAUCGAUGAAGAACGCAGCGAAAUGCGAUAAGUAAUGUGAAUUGCAGAAUUCAGUGAAUCAUCGAAUCUUUGAACGCACAUUGCGCCCUCUGGUAUUCCGGAGGGCAUGCCUGUUCGAGCGUCAUUUCAACCCUCAAGCCUGGCUUGGUGAUGGGGCACUGCUUUUACCCAAAAGCAGGCCCUGAAAUUCAGUGGCGAGCUCGCCAGGACCCCGAGCGCAGUAGUUAAACCCUCGCUUUGGAAGGCCCUGGCGGUGCCCUGCCGUUAAACCCCCAACUUCUGAAAAUUUGACCUCGGAUCAG